UUAUAUUGAUUCCCCCGGGGGACGCCACUGUAUCGUCGAGAAAAUUGAACACUUGAGUUAACCUUGGCUGGAAGAAGAAGAUUUUGUCAGCACGAACGUCAGUUUGUUUGUGUUUUGUUUUGUUUGUCCUUUCUUGUGUUUUGGGGUCCCAUAUUAUUAUGCCUUUUGACCGUAUAUAUUUUAUUUUUAUUUUUGUUUUGUGACUUUUCUGAUUGAUGUUUAUCAUAUGACAAUGGAACCUUUAAAUCAAUCCUUGGUUUGAUAAUGGCGCAAGCCGAAACAUGUAACCGGAUGAUUUGAAUACAAGGUUCCACCACUGAAGUGCUU